rnacentral:rRNA from 1 species
AAAGGAAUAGACGGGGACCCGCACAAGCAGUGGAGUAUGUGGUUUAAUUCGACGCAACGCGAAGAACCUUACCGAGGCUUGACAUAGCAUUGAAUAUAUCAGAGAUGAUAUAGCCCUUCGGGGCAGUGUUACAGGUGGUGCAUGGUUGUCGUCAGCUCGUGUCGUGAGAUGUUGGGUUAAGUCCCGCAACGAGCGCAACCCUUGUUAUUAGUUGCCAGCAUUAAGUUGGGCACUCUAAUAAGACUGCCGGUGAUAAAUCGGAGGAAGGUGGGGACGACGUCAAAUCAUCAUGCCCCUUAUGUCUCGGGCUACACACGUACUACAAUGGCUAUUACAGAAGGAAGCGAAGGAGUAAUCCGGAGCGAAUCCCCAAAGAUAGUCCCAGUUCGGAUUGUGGGCUGCAACUCGCCCACAUGAAGUCGGAAUUGCUAGUAAUUGCAGGUCAGCAUACUGCAGUGAAUACGUUCCCGGGUCUUGUACACACCGCCCGU